AGUCUGACGGAGCACGCCGCGUGAGUGAUGAAGGCUUUCGGGUCGUAAAACUCUGUUGUUAGGGAAGAACAAGUGCUAGUUGAAUAAGCUGGCACCUUGACGGUACCUAACCAGAAAGCCACGGCUAACUACGUGCCAGCAGCCGCGGUAAUACGUAGGUGGCAAGCGUUAUCCGGAAUUAUUGGGCGUAAAGCGCGCGCAGGUGGUUUCUUAAGUCUGAUGUGAAAGCCCACGGCUCAACCGUGGAGGGUCAUUGGAAACUGGGAGACUUGAGUGCAGAAAAGGAAAGUGGAAUUCCAUGUGUAGCGGUGAAAUGCGUAGAGAUAUGGAGGAACACCAGUGGCGAAGGCGACUUUCUGGUCUGUAACUGACACUGAGGCGCGAAAGCGUGGGGAGCAAACAGGAUUAGAUACCC
rnacentral:rRNA from 1 species